AUUGAACACUGGCGGCAGGCCUAACACAUGCAAGUCGAGCGGAUGAGAAGAGCUUGCUCUUCGAGUUAGCGGCGGACGGGUGAGUAAUGCCUAGGAAUCUGCCUGGUAGUGGGAGACAACGCUUCGAAAGGAACGCUAAUACCGCAUACGUCCUACGGGAGAAAGCAGGGGACCUUCGGGCCUUGCGCUAUCAGAUGAGCCUAGGUCGGAUUAGCUAGUUGGUGAGGUAAUGGCUAACCAAGGCGACGAUCCGUAACUGGUCUGAGAGGAUGAUCAGUCACACUGGAACUGAGAUACGGUACAGACUCAUACGGGAGGCAGCAGUGGGGAAUAUUGGACAAUGGGCGAAAGCCUGAUCCAGCCAUGCCGCGUGUGUGGAGAAGGUCUUCGGAUUGUAAAGCACUUUAAGUUGGGAGGAAGGGCAGUAAGCGAAUACCUUGCUGUUUUGACGUUACCGACAGAAUAAGCACCGGCUAACUCUGUGCCAGCCGCCGCCGUAAGAC
rnacentral:rRNA from 1 species